CGCGUAGGCGGAUGACACAGUCAGAUGUGAAAUUCCCGGGCUUAACCUGGGGGCUGCAUUUGAUACGUGUUGUCUAGAGUGAGGAAGAGGGUUGUGGAAUUCCCAGUGUAGAGGUGAAAUUCGUAGAUAUUGGGAAGAACACCGGUGGCGAAGGCGGCAACCUGGUCCUUGACUGACGCUGAGGCGCGAAAGCGUGGGGAGCAAACA
rnacentral:rRNA from 1 species